rnacentral:misc_RNA from 1 species
GAAGUCGUUACUUCAACCCUUGUGGAGGAGGACGCCGAAGGUGGGGCUAAUGACUGGGGUGAAGUCGUAACAAGGUAGCCGUACCGGAAGGUGCGGCUGGAUCACCUCCUAACAGGGAGACAACAAAAUGUAAAUAUUAAUUUUGUCACCUUAGGUCGAUCGGUAUCUCAGAUUCUUAUUAUUUAAGAAUUUCAGUUUCUAAGUUUUUUCUAGGUCACACCCAUCACUUUUUCCUGGGCCAUUAGCUCAGGUGGUUAGAGCGCACCCCUGAUAAGGGUGAGGUCCCUGGUUCAAGUCCAGGAUGGCCCAUAUCUCUAUGUUGGGGGUAUAGCUCAGUUGGUAGAGCGCCUGCUUUGCAAGCAGGACGUCAGCGGUUCGAGUCCGCUUACCUCCACUGAAUACCACCUCUUACAUAUAGUUAAAGUGGGAAAUUGUUUUGAGUCGUGUCCUAAUUUGCUCUGAGCGAAUCUAGCUUCCUAUUUUAUCCAAGAAAUAAGAUGCUGGACUCAUUGAAUUUUCUUUCAUUGUUUUCAGAGAACCUUGACAACUGCAUAGAUUAUUUUUAAAGACAAUAAGCAUCUUUAAUGAUGCAGAUUUAUUAUUUGUGCGAAUGCAUUAAAUAACAAUUCUAUUAAGCUGAUGCUUCAAUUAUUGAAGUUAUUGGUCAAGCUACAAAGGGCUCACGGAGGAUACCUAGGCACACAGAGGCGAUGAA